CCUACGGGAGGCAGCAGUAGGGAAUCUUCCACAAUGGGCGAAAGCCUGAUGGAGCAACGCCGCGUGGGUGAAGAAGGUCUUCGGAUCGUAAAACCCUGUUGUUCGAGAAGAAAGUGCGUGAGAGUAACUGUUCACGUUUCGACCGUAUCUAACCAGAAAGCCACGGCUAACUACGUGCAAACAGCCGCGGUAAUACGGAGGUGGCAAGCGUUAUCCGGAUUGAUUGGGCGUAAAGGUAACGAAGGCGGCCUUUUAAGUCUGAUGUGAAAGCCGUCGGCUUAACCGGAGUAGUGCAUUGGAAACUGGGAGACGUGAGUGCAGAAGAGGAGAGGGGAACGCCAUGUGUAGCGGUGAAAUGCGUAGAUAUAUGGAAGAACACCAGUGGCGAAGGCGGCUCUCUGGGCCGUAACUGACGCUGAGGUUCGAAAGCGUGGGUAGCAAACAGGAUUAGAUACCCGAGUAGUC
rnacentral:rRNA from 1 species